GUUUACACAAGUACAUAGGUUCAAGCUCUCCUUUAGUGAGUACAAGUGAAUGAUUUAGUACAAAUGACAUUAGGAAAUAUUGUGGGAGAAUGAUCUCGUAAUCACGAAACUUCUAAGUAUCGGAGUGUGGUGUCGUCUUGACUUGCCUUAUCUGUCUCAUAGGUAGAUGUGGCAUCUUCUCUGGAAGUACUCUUCCUCCAUCAGGGGUGGUAUCUUUAACUGGUGGAGAUGCACAAGGUAAUGUAUCAAUUUCACUUGAAGCUUACUUGUAGUUUCAGGCUUGGUCAAGCGCGAUACAAACCAUGUAGUAGGAGUCUCCCAAGUCGCCGAGCUAGGGGGUCUGCUGAAAGAGGUGACAGACAAGGUAAGCAAUCAGAGAGCUCCGACUGAUUGUUCACCUUCUCCCCAUCUUGCAGCAGCAUGAAGGAUAAAGAGAAGAAAAAUGAGAAGAGAUGAUAUGAGAUACUUUUGCUUUUGAAGAAGUAACUUUCCACAGGCUUAUUCUUGAACUGAGCUG
rnacentral:lncRNA from 1 species